rnacentral:lncRNA from 1 species
UUUUUUUUUGAGAAGAUAAUUAAACUUUCAUUAAAGCAAAUAAGAGAAUACAGAUUCCACAUCAAUUGGUAACGGUGUUGUCCAUACAGCAUUUGAAAGACUCCUUAAAGCAAGCUUAGCCAAGGAGUGGGCAUGAGCAUUACAUGAUCUGGGGGUGUAAUGGAAACUGAUGUGCUAGAAAUCCUUCCUUUGAUCUUGAAUUUCAGAAAUCACCCAAACAAUCUCUGUCUUGCUUCCCUCUUGGUUGUUAAUCAACUUUGCCACAUCUUGACAAUCUGUCUCCACCAUUAAAGAGCUAAGAGCUGCAUUUUUUGCCACAACUAAUCCCCAUUCAACAGCUUCUGCUUCUGCAACCUUAACAUCUCCAGAAAAUUUUGUGGUCUUGACAGCAGCCACAAUGAUUCUGUUGUUUGAAUCUCGGAUUACAGCUCCUAACCCUGCUAUUCCUUUUUCAUGAUUAAUAGCGGCAUCCACAUUAGCCUUGAAAACAUUUGCAAGAGGAGGGCACCACUUCUGGCUCUUCAUUGGAUUGUGCUUUCCCCCUGAUCCUUGCCCUUGCUGACUCACCCGUUUAUAAGCCUCAACUACAGCCUCAGCUUUAGCCACCACUCGC